GUUCUGCACCAUCAGUGGUAUUUGUAAACACUGUAAUGUUUGCUUGUGUCUCUUAGCAUGAAUAGUUGUAAUGUGAAUGAGUAGUUUCACUGUGCUUCAGUAUCAAGUAUUUGGAAUGGAUGUAUGUUCAGGAUGCAGUUCAUAAGAGCAUUUGGUAAACCACUGGUUUUAUUGUACUGAAACAGUGACUUGCAUGUGGUGACAAAUUUCAAUUCAGUGUGGUUGCUUGGUGAUGUGGUUUGCUGUAUGAGGUUGUCAGACAUGCUAUGCUAAUGUCCUUCACUGGCAUGAGAGGUAUGAUACACUUGCAUUAUGGAUGUAUUAAUUUUUCUUGCUUUAUUGCUGAAUUAUAAAAGCUGAAAUAACAAUGUUCUUUUGUGCUAUUAUAGGUGACCAUUUGUAUUCGUCACAGUUUUUUUAUUUUCAUAGGAAUUAGUUGUGAGUGUAAUGGAUUGCUAUUUUGCGACAUACAUGUUGGAAGGAGCAGGAGCAACUGCAAAUUUAUGAGAAGUUACCAAAAAAAUGUGGUAGAGGAAAGUAGUUGGAACAGCAGCAGCAAAAUGAUAGUAGGUGUUUGAAAUGACCAGAAGGGGACUGAGUAGUUAUUGAGUGAGAGUGAGUAGCUGUUGAGUUCCAUUGUUUUGCUACGUGUGUCUUGUGACUAGGAGAAUGUUUUCCCAUGUUGUAUGUAUAAUUUAUUGCUUUCAAUUGCAUGUAAUUUGUGACUUAUAGUGAUGCGAGAUAUGGCAGAUGUAGCAGAAAAGUUAGUCAUGUUAUGACACUCCAUCAAGUGCAGCUCUGUUGUGAUUUGUUUGUCAAGUGGUAUGAGGAGGGUUUGUUUCAGGACAAAUGUGCAGAGGAAAGAGGACUAUUGCUGUUGGAGCCAUGAUGAUGUGUGUAAGGUAUUGGUUGCAAUAGGUGUCAUGGAGAAUUAAUAUAUUUCGUUGGUUGAAAUUUAUAUUAUGUUUAGCUGAAAGUACUUCGUAUUUCCUUACGGUUUUAAGUAUAGUGAGUGUAUUUUAUCUGUAGUCCGAUCCACGAAUGAUGCCAGUUCAUACAGCUUGAGAUGUGGACGGAGAUUUCACCAUUGCCAGUUCCAGCCAAUAGUUGUAAGUGCAUACAUGUGCGCUGCAAUUAAAAAAAAAUGUGUACUCUGCAAAUGUCUUUCACUUGCUUGUGCAGAAUUUGUUGCUUACCACCACAAUCAGCCAUGACGAUUCACAACAAGUGGAAUAAAAGUUCACUGAAUAACUCACUAUGAUUGUGUUUAAUGCUUUCACUUGCUAUGACGUACAUAGCAGUGUGCUGAAAACACUACUGAAUGCUCAUUGGUUGGUGGAGUAUGCGUGACGUAAAUGCGCAAAACAAGCCUAAACUCAAUCACCAUUGUUCAUGUCUUCAGGAAUAAUAUUAGUGCAUGCAUGAUUUACAUUACUCCAUAGUGUUGUGCUGUGAAAUGUAGGUAGGUUAUAGGAUUGGAGUGAGUGUUGGAGUGAGGAGAGGAGAGAUGUAGAAUGGUUAACACAGAAUAUUUGUAGUGAUCCAUUGAAUGCAAAGCAUGAAUGGGUGAAACUUUUUAAGCAAACACUUAUUGUAUUUGGCUAUGUGUGAAGUAAAGCUUUUUUUGUGUGACACUGAUUGAAACAUGAAGUAGUGCAUUAAUUGCUCAUUGCAUGAGUAUUGUAUGCAUGAUUUGCUGAAUAAUUUGUUGACAUCCGUGCUAAGAGACAACGUGUUAAUGUAUGAAAAGUCUGUUGGAUGUAUGUAUCACUAAGGCCUAAACUUGACAUCACUUUGUCAAAUGCAUUGCAUGAAAGUGAUUAAGUGUCAAUGAAGUGGUGGUGUGAAAUGGACUACUAUGAUUAAUAGGUUUGUAGAUAUAGUAUGAGAGUCUCGAUGAUUGGUUUAUCUUGCGAUUGUGUUUCGACUGUGCUUUCUGUAUAACUUGCAAGUGCAUAAUCGUUUGGAUGUUUCAGGUACUACUAACAUAACAGCAACUUAUAGGCAAUACUCAGAAGUGUUUUAAUGUGUGUGUAGUGUUUACUUUACAGGUAUCAGUGAUGUGGAUUUGUGUGUACGAAGGGCAAGUCUGCCAUACUUUGUAGACAUCAUUUUUGUGCAAUGUGUGCUUUGUCAAAUGUACUGGUUUUUAAUGUGAUCUGAAACGAAUAUUGUAUGUGGUACCAUUUGGCAAUUGUUUCACAAGUUUGUACACACUUAUGGGCAUGAAGUGAUGAUGAAGUUCCUGAAGACUUAUUUCUCAAGUGUUAGAGGUGACCUGAGCAAAUGUAAAUAUAUCAACGGAUGCAAGUUGUAGCAGCUAGGACAAAGAAUUAUCUGAAGCAUUAAUGAAGUAAGGAAGAAUGUCACAAGAAUUCCAUAAUUGGAAUAAAAUAGUAACUGCUGUGUCUGUAAUGUGUAAAUAUUGGUAGAAACAGUAAGUAAUUUUUAUAUUGUGGGAAUUGCUAUAGUGCGAAGCAGGCAUGUUACGCUAAGUUUUCCAACAGAAAUGGGCAUGCUUAUUCUGUAGUAACAUUAAAUGUAUUUCUGUAUUCGAGAGCAUUUGUUAGACUUACAGAAGGUGUGUGUUAUUUUACAGAGUAGAGAUAAUGUAUUUCGUCAGUUUCGCACAUCAGUGGUAUCAGCUAAUACUGUAAUAUUUCUUGUGCCUCUUAGGAUCAAUAGUCAUAAUGUGAAUGAUGAGAUUCACUGUGAUUAAGUUCGAAGCAUAUGGAAAAGAUGUAUGUUCAGGAUUCAGUUGAUCACAGUAUUGGUGCUUUGGUUACACUGGAACAGUGCCUCCCAUGUGGUGGCAUAAAUUUCAUUUGAGCAUAGUUGCUUGGUUCCAUGGUUUGUUGUAUGAGGUUCAGUCAGACAUGCUAUGUUAAUGCUUAUCAUCAGCAUGAGAGGGGAAAUGGUUGUGGCUAUAAAGGAGGCUGUAUUACAAUGUGCAUGUCGGAAGCAGCAGGAACGACUGUAAAUGUUCAGGAAGUUAACAGAAAACAUACAUUUAGGAAAGGAUAGUUCAACCAGCAGUGACUAAAUUCCAUAAUCUCCCAUGGAAAGAUGCUUCAUAAGCAAUAGGAAGACACAGGAUAAACUGUGAUCGUGUGAAUGAUGAGAUUCACUGUGCUCUAUUGUGAAGCUUAUGGAAAGGAUGUAUGUUGAAGAUUCAGUUGAUCACAGAACAUGUUAAGCCUCUGGUUUUUUUUACACUGAAACAGUUCCUCUCAUGUGGUAGCAUAAAUUUGAUUUGAGCAUAGUUGCUGGGUUCCAUGGUUUGUUGUAGGAGAUUGUCAGACAUGCUAUGCUAAUGUCCAUCACUGGCAUGAGAGGAUGCAGUUCAUAAGAGCAUUUGGUAAACCACUGGUUUUAUUGUACUGAAACAGUGCCUCGCAUGUGGUGACAAAUUUGAUUUCAAUGUAGUUGCUUUGUGAUGUGGUUUGCUGUAUGAGGUUGUCAGACGUGCUAUGCUAAUGUCCUUCACUGGCAUGAGAGGUGACCCUUUUGUAUUCGUCACGUGAGUUUUUCAUAGGAAUUAGCUGUGGGCAUAACGGAUUGUUAUUUUAUGACAUACAUGUUGGAAGGUGCAGGAGCAACUGCAAAUGUAUGAGAAGUUACCAAAAAACAUGCAGUGAGAGGAAAGUAGUUGGAACAGCAGCAGAAAAAUGAUAGUAGGUGUUUGAAAUGACCAGAAGGGGACUGAGUAGUUAUUGAGUGAGAAAGAAAUGGUUGUGGUUAUAAGGAAGCAAUCUUAUUAUGUACAUGUUGGAAGGAACAGAAACAAAGGAAAACAUAUGACAUUGUCAGAAAACAUGCAUUUACAGGAGAAUAACUGGAACAGCAGUUAGAAAAAUGAUAGUAUAUGUUUUAAAUGACUGGAAGGGGAUUGAGCACGAUGCAAUUAAAUGAAUGUGAGAAGUGUCACAGAGUUCCAUUGGUUCACUGUUGGAUCAUCCAUGAAUAGAAGGUUUCCCCAGGUUGUAUGUUUUAUUUGUUGCAUUGCAUACAAUUUCUGCCUGUAGUGAUAAAAGAGGUCGCAGAAGCAGAAGAAAAAUUAACAUCAUGUUAUACUCUUUUAAGUGAAACUCUGUUGUGAUUUGUUUCAGAAAGCGCUGUUGAUGAAAGAAAAUGACUCUUUCUGUGCUACGGUAUUGUGAUGGUUUUUAUUAGGCUAUAGCCAGCAUGUUGUGGUUGGAAGUGGUGGGUUUACCAAUGGAUGUUUCAGGACAGGUGUGUGCAGAGUAAUGACUAUUUCUGUUGGAUCUGUGAAGUUUAAUUUAAUGAAGUUAUUGCAACAGGUGUCUGAAGAAUUUGUAUAUUUGCCUAAAGUUGAGGCACAAUGUUAUAAAGAAAGUAUGAAAUAAAACAUUCUCAAACAUAUGCUUAGAUUUCAGAACGAGCAAUGAAAGUUGGAAAAUUGAACGUGUUUCCUGCAGCAAUGUUGUCAAGUGUCUACACUCAAUGUGAGAUAUGACAGGAAUGAAAGGGGAUGUGUCAGCUACUAGUUCUAUGCAGCUAAUGAUAGAGUGGUGGUGAGCAGAUGAUAUGUUUGGAAGAAAGACACAUUUAAAUGCCUCACAUCAAUGUGGAAGUGAAAUCCAAUAUGUAUUUCGCAGAAAGCAACUGCCUUCUUAGAUCCCAACAUAACCACAAUCUCAGAAACUGUGACAUAUUUGGAAGGCACAGUCAAUGAAGAUAUAAAUUUCGCAGCUGUGCUAUUGGGAUGACAAUGUGAUUAAAGAGUGAGACUCCAGAUGACAGGCUUAGAAAUCAAAAAGAUAGUGAAGGGACAUUGCAAUACACCUGCUACUACUACUGAAUGCCUGGAGCAAGGAAAAAGUUACUGGAAACUGUGUGCUAAACAGUGAGGAACGUUCGCAAAAUAGACAAGGCAACAAGGAACCAACCUUAACAAUCAAGGGAAGUAAAUGCAAGAUAGCCCAAGACUGUUUCUGUAAUUACUUCCAACGGAAAAUAGCUUCAGAUCCAACAAGUGUGGGUGCGUGCACAGACACCACAGAUGUCAGCUGUUGUAGGUUGAGAAAUUUGUUGAUUGGGAUCAGAUUUUGUACUGUGUCUGUGUAUAUUGCAUAAACUGUACAUAAAGUUUUUUCUGUUUUUGAAAAUAGUUGAUCUUAGAUUGUCAUUUACUGUGGCAAUGUUCAAACAGAGAUAUUAAAUGUAUUAUGUAAGAGUAAAUAUAUUUGGAUUUUCCAUUAAACAAAAACAAAGAUGUUAACUUAGUUGGGCAGUAGUACUUGCUGUGUUUGUGGUUCCCAGUGUUGUGAUGGUUGGUAGAGGAACAAAGAUGAUUUGUUGGAUGGUUGAUGAGGAAAUGAAGUUGGAUAUGUUAUUGUGGAGAAAAACUGUUAAUUUAGUUUCAUAGCACUCUGUUGUACUUUCAUUUGUUGCCAAGAGAAAUUUCAGAUCUUUGUGGACAGAUGACCGUGACAUGAUGAUACGGUAGAACUGUUACAUUGAACCUGAGAAUGGGAGCUUGUUCUCUUGAUAUGUGUAUUCAACAGGAAGAAGGUUGAAUGCAAUAAUUCAGGAUAAUAGUUAAAAUUUGAAAUAGCUAGUUCAUUUGUUCAUAAUUUAUCUCAUGUCUCUUAAUUUUGGAAUGCUCUGCAAUUAUAAUAGACUGGUACAGGCACGACUGUGGUAUCAGAAUUGCAUGUAACAUCACUGUUUACGAAGUAUAAACCAUAAAUAGUUGUAAACAAUUAAAUAUUGUCCAGAAUUAUUAUUCGAACUGUUGAAAUGUGCUCUCUCUUGUCUUUAGAGGCAUGCAAAUAUUACUGAGCAUGCACAACAUUCAGCACAUCUGGUAUAUCAGACUUUUGAAAAGUGAUAGAAAACUAUUAGAGAUACACUGUUAUCAAAUGUAUGUUUAGAAUUGAACUGGAAAACUGUUAAGAGCUUCAGCAAGGACUGUUAUCAGAAUGAUUAUCCUUAACACAGAUGGGUCAUAGGGCAGCUGUGAAAGUUGUAGUCUACAUAACUUUUGAAAAGUUAAAUUUAGCUUUUCCAAGUAGCUAAUAGUGACUCAUAUGAACUUGUCACUAUGUUAGUAAUAAUUUCUUGGCUUCCAUUGUAAAAAGUUGAAACAUAGUCCCCAUCAUUUGCAUACUAUUUCUAACUGGUGAAAUAAUUUCCCUGCUUCACAAACCUGUACAGUAUUAUAAUGUCCGGUUUUCUAAAAAGAGUGAAGCAACAUUUCACAGUGAAAUACAAGAUAUGAAUGAUGGUAAUUUGCAAAUACUUUCUUAAUAUUUUGUGUAUUUGUCAGGAAGUUAAACAUAAUUAAUACCUAUAGCAAACACUUAAUGAUGCUUCAACUGUUUCACGUCAUCACUUUAUAAAUGAAAACUGAGUAAAUAGUACAGUAUAAUGUGUUUUUUAAAAUACAUUAUUGUUCUUUGGGAAAAGGAGAAUUAAUAUUUUCAUCAGCUAGUUAUGUGAUUAAAAUUUUUGUAUGGCUUGGUUAUGAAGAAAAACAAGGUGAUUGUUUAUGGUAAUGUUAAUAGUAAAUUAAUAAUAUGAACUACACAAGUGAGAAUGUAAUGUGUGAAAUAAAUGCUUCUUAAAUGGUGAAAUUAUGAAGUAAAAGGAAAUUAACAAAUGGUUUAUUUAUACUUGCUCUCAUUUUAGGUUAGGAUGAUGUUGAUAAUUUAAUAUUGUAUACUGGUGACAAAUACAAUGACACAGCUACUCUUUCA